CUGAUCCAGCUCAGGAGAAAAAGGAGCGGGUUCCGAGUGAGACUUCUGGAGCCAGCUGGACGUGCCGGUUUGCCCAGUGCGGCGCGGCUGCACGCACCGUCCACAAGGCCUAGUCCCAGACCAAGUGCAUGGAAACGAUGGCUCAUGUCUCUCAACAUUUGCCCAAGGGAAUGGUGCCUACCUUGCAACUCAGCGUGAUGUCACCUUUAUUAGCCAUUCUGGUGUCUAUACAAAAUAUUUGCUCCCCAUUUCUUCUUAUCGAUGCCUGGUCAGCAACAAUCAUGUAAAUAAGUUUCCAUUCUUUUGAGGAAGAUAACGAAGUCAGCGUUUUUCAGAAGUGGUGCCUAGGAAGAGACAAAAUCCAGGACACACCUCUAGUUCAGGUAAAUAUUUACAUGUCCAAGUAAUGACUCCACAAAGCUGUGAGAAAGGAAGAAGAUAAUUCAUGCCCUAGAAUAGAUCUGUACAUUGUAAUUCAGGUCCACUGGAGAAACUCUAUUUACUAUCAUCUUCAAUGUCCUGGAAUGGAGGAAGGAGCUAUGGAGCCACUGCUGAGGCCAAGGUAUUCCAUGCCAGCUGUCACAUGGGUAUUUGUACAACAUUCUUGCAUCAUACAAAUAAAUAAUUAGCUACGUAUUUAAUACCUACUGCACACUGUGUAUUACAUAUAUUGUUUAAUUCUCAUAACUGUCCUUUGAUAUUAUCUCCAAUUUACUGG
rnacentral:lncRNA from 1 species